GAUGAACGCUGGCGGCGUGCCUAAUACAUGCAAGUCGAACGAAACUUCUUUAUCACCGAGUGCUUGCGCUCACCGAUAAAGAGUUGAGUGGCGAACGGGUGAGUAACACGUGGGCAACCUGCCCAAAAGAGGGGGAUAACACUUGGAAACAGGUGCUAAUACCGCAUAACCAUAGUUACCGCAUGGUAACUAUGUAAAAGGUGGCUAUACUACCGCUUUUGGAUGGGCCCGCGGGGCAUUAGCUAGUUGGUAGGGUAAAGGCUUACCAAGGCAAUGAUGCGUAGCCGAAGUGAGAGGUUGAUCGGCGACAUUGGGAAUGAGACACGGCCCAAACUCCUACGGGAGGCAGCAGUAGGGAAUCUUCCACAAUGGGCGAAAGCCUGAUGGAGCAACGCCGCGUGGGUGAAGAAGGUCUUCGGAUCGUAAAACCCUGUUGUUAGAGAAGAAAGUGCGUGAGAGUAACUGUUCACGUUUCGACGGUAUCUAACCAGAAAGCCACGGCUAACUACGUG
rnacentral:rRNA from 1 species